rnacentral:rRNA from 1 species
CUACGUGCCAGCAGCCGCGGUAAUACGGAAGGUCCAGGCGUUAUCCGGAUUUAUUGGGUUUAAAGGGAGCGUAGGCCGUGGAUUAAGCGUGUUGUGAAAUGUAGACGCUCAACGUCUGAAUUGCAGCGCGAACUGGUUCACUUGAGUAUGCACAACGUAGGCGGAAUUCGUCGUGUAGCGGUGAAAUGCUUAGAUAUGACGAAGAACUCCGAUUGCGAAGGCAGCUUACGGGAGCACAACUGACGCUGAAGCUCGAAGGUGCGGGUAUCAAACAGGAUUAGAUACCCUGGUAGUCCGCACAGUAAGCGAUGGAUGCCCGUUGUUAGUUCACCUAAGAAUUAGCGACCAAGCGAAAGCAUUAAGCAUCCCACCUGGGGAGUACGCCGGCAACGGUGAAACUCAAAGGAAUUGACGGGGGCCCGCACAAGCGGAGGAACAUGUGGUUUAAUUCGAUGAUACGCGAGGAACCUUACCCGGGCU